rnacentral:rRNA from 1 species
UACGUAGGUGGCAAGCGUUGUCCGGAAUUAUUGGGCGUAAAGCGCGCGCAGGCGGCCUUUUAAGUCUGAUGUGAAAGCCCACGGCUCAACCGUGGAGGGUCAUUGGAAACUGGGGGACUUGAGUGCAGGAGAGAAGAGUGGAAUUCCACGUGUAGCGGUGAAAUGCGUAGAGAUGUGGAGGAACACCAGUGGCGAAGGCGACUCUUUGGCCUGUAACUGACGCUGAGGCGCGAAAGCUAGGGGAGCAAACAGG